GCUUACGGCCAUACCACCCUGAGAACGCCCGAUCUCGUCUGAUCUCGGAAGCUAAGCAGGGUCGGUCCUGGUUAGUACUUGGAUGGGAGACCGCCUGGGAAUACCAGGUGCUGUAAGCU
rnacentral:rRNA from 1 species